GAUGAACGCUGGCGGCGUGCUUAACACAUGCAAGUCGAACGGAAAGGCUCCUGCUUGCAGGGGUACUCGAGUGGCGAACGGGUGAGUAACACGUGGGUGAUCUGCCCUGCACUUCGGGAUAAGCCUGGGAAACUGGGUCUAAUACCGGAUAGGACGAUGGUUUGGAUGCCAUUGUGGAGAGUUUUUCGGUGUGGGGUGAGCUCGCGGCCUCUCAGCUUGUUGGUGGGGUAAUGGCCUACCAAGGCGUCGACGGGUAGCCGGCCUGGGAGGGUGUACGGCCACAAUGGGGCUGGGAAACGGGCCAGACUCCUUCCGGGGGCAGCAAGGGGGGAUAAUGCACAAAGGGCGGGAGCCUGAAGCAACGACGCCGCGUGGGGGAUGACGGCCUUCGGGUUGUAAACUCCUUUCGCUAGGGGCGAAGCGUUUUGUGACGGUACCUGGAGAAGAAGCACCGGCUAACUACGUG
rnacentral:rRNA from 1 species